rnacentral:rRNA from 1 species
UAGGGAAUCUUCGGCAAUGGACGGAAGUCUGACCGAGUAACGCCGCGUGAGUGAAGAAGGUUUUCGGAUCGUAAAGCUCUGUUGUAAGAGAAGAACGAGUGUGAGAGUGGAAAGUUCACACUGUGACGGUAUCUUACCAGAAAGGGACGGCUAACUACGUGCCAGCAGCCGCGGUAAUACGUAGGUCCCGAGCGUUGUCCGGAUUUAUUGGGCGUAAAGCGAGCGCAGGCGGUUAGAUAAGUCUGAAGUUAAAGGCUGUGGCUUAACCAUAGUAGGCUUUGGAAACUGUUUAACUUGAGUGCAAGAGGGGAGAGUGGAAUUCCAUGUGUAGCGGUGAAAUGCGUAGAUAUAUGGAGGAACACCGGUGGCGAAAGCGGCUCUCUGGCUUGUAACUGACGCUGAGGCUCGAAAGCGUGGGGAGCAAACAGGAUUAGAUACCCUGGUAGUCCACGCUGUAAACGAUGAGUGCUAGGUGUUAGACCCUUUCCGGGGUUUAGUGCCGUAGCUAACGCAUUAAGCACUCCGCCUGGGGAGUACGACCGCAAGGUUG